UAUUAGCUACGCGUAAGGGAUAGUAGUGAAAAUCCUUUUUUAUUAUGGAGCGAAAGCGGAAUAAUAUAAAAGAUUGCAGCGGAUAACCCGACCUUAC
rnacentral:sRNA from 1 species